CGGGACUCUCACGAGGCCUCGUAAUCGGAAUGAGUACACUUUAAAUAUUUUAACGAGGAACAAUUGGAGGGCAAGUCUGGUGCCAGCAGCCGCGGUAAUUCCAGCUCCAAUAGCGUAUACUAAAUUUGUUGCGGUUAAAAAGCUCGUAGUUGCAUUUGUGCGCCGCGCUGUCGGUGCACCGCAUCCGCGGUGAUACUGACACGUCUGCGGAGCAUAUCGUCGGUGAGCCGCCCGUCAAACGGCGGUUCAAUAUCAAAAUCCUAUCGCGGUGCUCUUCAGUGAGUGUCGAGGUGGGCCGACAAUUUUACUUUGAACAAAUUAGAGUGCUCAAAGCGGGCUCAAAACGCUGCUUGAAUAUUUCGUGCAUGGAAUAAUAGAAUAUGAUCUCGGUUCUAUUUUGUUGGUUUUCAGAACUCCGAGGUAAUGAUUAAUAGGGAUAACUGGGGGCAUUCGUAUUGCGACGUUAGAGGUGAAAUUCUUGGAUCGUCGCAAGACGAACAUCAGCGAAAGCAUUUGCCAAAGGUGUUUUCAUCAAUCAAGAACGAAAGUUAGAGGUUCGAAGGCGAUUAGAUACCGCCCUAGUUCUAACCGUAAAUAUGUCAUCUAGCGAUCCGCCGACGUUAAUCAAAUGGCUCGGCGGGCAGCUUCCGGGAAACCAAAGAUUUUGGACUCCGGGGGGAGUAUGGUUGCAAAGCUGAAACUUAAAGGAA
rnacentral:rRNA from 1 species